UUUCUACCUUCUAAGUCCAGUUCUGAUUUACCUCUAGAGGAUCUCUUUAUCCUCUUUAUAUAGAGAGUUUGUUAGAUCGUUGAUGAAAUUUAUUAGGCCAUCGGCAACCACCUAAUUUAGAGGAUUUAGUUUGUUAGGCGGUUUUGAGUAACCAUCUUAGUUUGUUAGCCAUUGGUUAUAACAAAUUGACCAGCUGUAGAGA
rnacentral:lncRNA from 1 species